rnacentral:rRNA from 1 species
UACGAAGGGGGCUAGCGUUGUUCGGAAUCACUGGGCGUAAAGCGCUCGUAGGCGGAUCUUUAAGUCAGAGGUGAAAUCCCAAGGCUCAACCCUUGGAACUGCCUUUGAUACUGGGGAUCUCGAGUCCGGGAGAGGUGAGUGGAACUGCGAGUGUAGAGGUGAAAUUCGUAGAUAUUCGCAAGAACACCAGUGGCGAAGGCGGCUCACUGGCCCGGUACUGACGCUGAGGAGCGAAAGCGUGGGGGAGCAAACAGG